rnacentral:rRNA from 1 species
GUAGGUGGCAAGCGUUGUCCGGAAUUAUUGGGCGUAAAGCGCGCGCGGGCGGUUCUUUAAGUCUGAUGUGAAAGCCCACGGCUCAACCGUGGAGGGUCAUUGGAAACUGGAGAACUUGAGUACAGAAGAGGAAAGCGGAAUUCCACGUGUAGCGGUGAAAUGCGUAGAGAUGUUGAGGAACACCAGUGGCGAAGGCGGCUUUCUGGUCUGUAACUGACGCUGAGGCGCGAAAGCGUGGGGAGCAAACAGGAUUAGAUACCCUGGUAGUCCACGCCGUAAACGAUGAGUGCUAAGUGUUAGGGGGUUUCCCGCCCCCUUAGUGCUGCAGCUAACGCAUUAAGCACUCCGCCUGGGGAGUACGGCCGCAAGGCUG